GGUUUUGUGGUCUAGUUGGUUAUGGCAUGUGCUUAACACGCACAACGUCCCCAGUUCGAUCCUGGGCAAAAUCA